CACAGAGGGAGUGAAGAGGCUCGCAACAGCAACAGGCUAGUCUUUGGACAUUUUGUGCACUUAACCAACAGUGCAGUUCAAGAAGAAGAGGCUAAAAUAAAAGACCCAGUGUAACGGCAGAUUUUCUCUUCGUCUGAAGAGGAGUAAGGAUCGGACCAAGAUGCAGCGUGGGAGGUGACUUAAAGAAGAGUAACGUUAAGGCCUCAACAUCUUGCUGAAUUGAUCUGAACAACAUCUCUGAAUUUCUAUUGGUGUCCAUUUUGAAAGUGCUGAACGAAUAGGCUUACCUCAUCACAGUUCGUAUACUUGUAUUUGCUUAUACUUAGAGCUAAGUGUUUCAUGAUAUAAAAACAAACAUUAUGAGAUUACUGAACAUAAAUGUAAUAAUGUUUUUGUAUUGUUCAAAAGUCUAAAUUCAUGUCGGCAUUACUUACUAAUGAAGAAGAAUGUGGUUCUUAUCGAGUUCCACAAAUCCACAAGGAGUUAGUAGAAAUCAUAUUUAUUUAAGCAAGUCAGCCAUAUCAGCUAUGGUUUUUAAAAAGUCAGUAAAUGAGGCUGAAUGAACUAUUUCCCUGCCAGACAAGGCUCCGCUGAUAGCCAGGUGUAGAGGUGGUAAGGAUCAACUCCAUGGUGCUGAAGGAAAGCUCUGCUGUUGGUACAGCUUUAUGUAGGCCCUAACCGUUUGUGGGUACUGUUUGUCACUGUCAUAUUGCAAUUCAUGUAUUGUUUAGUGUUGUGUAGUGGCUUUGCUGGCAUGCAUCUAAAAAAAAUUAUGUGUGUGCCCCACCAAGAUUUGCAUGCUAAAAUCCCACUGAAUGUGAGAAUGUAAGAUUAGUUGACGCAGAAAACAACCUCUGUUGUCUCAAAUAGAUUGGGGGGGUAUAGUUGUGGGGGAACAAAAACCUGACAUUCUUUUUUUAUUGCUGAAAUUCAAUUUGAAAUUUGAUGGCCACAGAGAACAGAGCAGAAGAGAGAGAGAGCCUUGAUGGAGGAGAGGCAAGUUGAGGCUGGGCAGACGAGAAGGGGUAAGGAGACCUCCCUGCGGGCCUCGCAGCCCCAAUUCAGUCUAUUGAUUUUCUGUCCUCUCCUUCAAUAUCUGGAAUGCGCCGUACCCAAUAGAUUAUGACAAACGUGGCCGCGAGAGACCAGCAAUCCUCUCUAAUUGAACCUGAUGGUGUACAGCUGAGGAUCAAAGGUCGGGGAAAUUCAGUGACACAGCAGGUUUCUCUCCUUCUCUAAAAAACACUCCUCCAAGGUCCAUAAAACAGGGGGAGGGGGAGGAAGGGUCUUAUUUCUCUGUACAUCCUUCCUCCUUUCCUUUCCUCCAUUCCUCUCCUCAGACAAGGGCAAGCUACACUGUUACUGCACCGCUGAGCACAGAGGAGUCAGACUCAAGGCUUUACAAUAACAACCUCCUGCCAAAAGUGCAACGGGAAAAAAACAAGGCAGAAGAAAAGCUCAGUGCUCUAUUUUGAUGAAAGUAACAAGCACAGCUUGUUGUAAAUAGGUUUUCUGAAGCCCGAGGCAGCUUUUCUCCCCGGGGGACAUACUUUCUGCGUCUUUCCCUGGGUUGCUGUCGCCGAAAGGUUCUGUCUGGAAGGAAAGAAGGGAAAAAAACUCAAAGUGGCACAAACAAGAACUCGCUUCAGCUGUUUUGACAGGAGGAGGAAAUCAUCAUUCAGUUGGACACGCUAGUUCGCAAUUGCCAUCCAUUCAGGUUGGAAAACAAUAUAUGCUGUUAAGGGAAAUCCACAGCUUACCCUGUUGUUUACCAGCCGUGCGUGCGCUUGGGCAGAGUCAUAUUUCUUGGAGCAACGUGCUCCUUUUGGUAACAUGAGACUUCGCCAGUCCAUGCGUUCCUAAACUCUCAAAUACAUUCACAAGGGGGUGAUAGCAGAGCUUUUCUUGUUGUCUUGCUAGCUAGCUGGCUAAAAACAGCAAGCUAGCUAGCCUUUUAGCUUCCCCCAUAUGAAAUCAUCUGAUUUUUAAUAAAAAUAAUAUGCCCUGGCAAAUAUUCUUAUUCUUGCCAGUGUAACCUACAACAUUAUCCCAGUUUGAUAUGUUCCUCUACUGUAUUUGCUCCCAAAUCACCUAAAAAUAGAAAGGCAUGGUUUUUGCUCACAGAGAAAAAGGACAUGGCUAAUGGCUGUAUUUACAGGUUAAGAAUAGCCCACAAUCACAUAGUUAUACAUUUUGAACAAAAACCUUUUUUUGGGGGGGUUCUAAAAAAUGCUUUAGUGUUGGUUUAUUGUGUGAACAGUUGCUGAGAACAUAUUUUGAAAUCAAUGCAAAAUAGGCUUCUUACUUGAUGCAUAACCUACAUUACUGGUCAAAAGUUUUAUAAGACCUACUGGUUCAAGGGUUUUUCUUUAUUAUUACUAUUUUCUACAUUGUAGAAUAAUAGGGAAGACAUCAAACUAUGA